rnacentral:rRNA from 1 species
UACGAAGGGGGCUAGCGUUGUUCGGAAUUACUGGGCGUAAAGCGUGCGCAGGCGGUUUUCCAAGUCAGUGGUGAAAGCCCGGAGCUCAACUCCGGAACUGCCAUUGAAACUGUGAAACUAUAGUACGAGAGAGGUGAGUGGAAUUCCCAGUGUAGAGGUGAAAUUCGUAGAUAUUGGGAAGAACACCGGUGGCGAAGGCGGCUCACUGGCUCGUAACUGACGCUCAGGCGCGACAGCGUGGGGAGCAAACAGG